rnacentral:rRNA from 1 species
GAUGAACGCUGACAGAAUGCUUAACACAUGCAAGCCAACUUGAACUUCGGUUUGGGUGGCGGACGGGUGAGUAACGCGUAAAGAACUUGCCUCACAGAUAGGGACAACAUUUGGAAACGAAUGCUAAUACCUGAUAUUAUGAUUUUAGGGCAUCCUAGAAUUAUGAAAGCUAUAUGCGCUGUGAGAGAGCUUUGCGUCCCAUUAGCUAGUUGGAGAGGUAACGGCUCACCAAGGCGAUGAUGGGUAGCCGGCCUGAGAGGGUGAUCGGCCACAAGGGGACUGAGACACGGCCCUUACUCCUACGGGAGGCAGCAGUGGGGAAUAUUGGACAAUGGACCAAGAGUCUGAUCCAGCAAUUCUGUGUGCACGAUGAAGUUUUUCGGAAUGUAAAGUGCUUUCAGUUGGGAAGAAAAAAAUGACGGUACCAACAGAAGAAGUGACGGCUAAAUACGUGCCAGCAGCCGCGGUAAUACGUAUGUCACAAGCGUUAUCCGGAUUUAUUGGGCGUAAAGCGCGUCUAGGUGGUUAUAUAAGUCUGAUGUGAAAAUGCAGGGCUCAACUCUGUAUUGCGUUGGAAACUGUGUAACUAGAGUACUGGAGAGGUAAGCGGAACUACAAGUGUAGAGGUGACAAUUCGUAGAUAUUUGUAGGAAUGCCGAUGGGGAAGCCAGCUUACUGGACAGAUACUGACGCUGAAGCGCGAAAGCGUGGGGAGCGAACUCGAUUAUAUCCCUUUGUAGUCAAGGCCGAAUUCCACAGC